rnacentral:snRNA from 1 species
GUGCUUACUUUAGCAGUAUAGAUGGUACAACUGAAUGAUAUAGAGAAGAUUAACAUAGCCCCUCUCCAAAGAUGACAUGCAAAUUUCACUCCAUAUAA